CUCUCUUCUGUUCCCGCUUCCUGUUUCCCACAGGGCCCGAUCCCCUGGUUCCUUCCUUUGGAUCAAGGUCUCCAUAACUUUAUCCUAGGGCUCCCUCUUCCUUGAGCCAGUCCAAGUGGGCGUCUGUUCGUCAAUCCAAGAGCCUUGACAGCACGUGCAGCAAGGGGACCCAAGUUCAGGCUCUUGGGCCCGAAUUCUCUGCCCGUGUUCCUGUCACGUUUCUGCUGGGCCGGAACACGGGACAUGAGGCUGGCCCUCUCUUUCUGGGACCUGUCUACACAUCCAGGAACCCUGGUAUCUGACAAGCUCACCCUCACGUCCCUACAAACUGCCACCAGGGCCUCCUGGGAAAAGGGGCAAUGAACAGUGAAGGUUACGAUGGCCUUCCAAGGCCAGACAAUCAGCCCCAUGCAAGGGUGCUCCUGCUCAGAGACAUGUGCCAGAGAAGCCACAGAGACUAUCACAGCAGGAACCCUCUUGGAACCACCAUCUUGGAAACUGCUGGUAUUUCAUGGAAAGCAAAUAAAUUAAAGG
rnacentral:lncRNA from 1 species